GGUUGAGUAUACUAAGGGGCGCGAGAUAACUCUCUCUAAGGAACUCGGCAAAAUGGCCCCGUAACUUCGGGAGAAGGGGUGCCAGCGCGAGCUGGCCGCAGUGAAAUGAUCCAAGCGACUGUUUACCAAAAACACAGGUCUCUGCAAAGUCGAAAGACGACGUAUAGGGGCUGACGCCUGCCCAGUGCCGGAAGGUUAAGGAAGUUGGUCAGCGAAAGUGAAGCUAACGACUGAAGCCCCGGUGAACGGCGGCCGUAACUAUAACGGUCCUAAGGUAGCGAAAUUCCUUGUCGGGUAAGUUCCGACCCGCACGAAAGGCGUAACGAUUUGGAUGCUGUCUCGGAGAGAGACUCGGCGAAAUAGGAUUGUCUGUGAAGAUACGGACUACUUGCACCCGGACAGAAAGACCCUAUGAAGCUUUACUAUAACUUGGCAUUGGGUUCGGGCUUCUCUUGCGCAGGAUAGGUGGGAGACUAUGAUGAUGUCCUUGUGGGGACAUUGGAGUCAACGGUGAGAUACCACUCUGGAGAGGCUAGAAUUCUAACCUUGACCCG
rnacentral:rRNA from 1 species